CCAGCAGCCGCGGUAAUACGAAGGGGGCGAGCGUUGUUCGGAUUUACUGGGCGUAAAGGGCGCGUAGGCGGCGGACCAAGUCGAGUGUGAAAGCCCCGGGCUCAACCUGGGAAUUGCGCUUGGGACUGAUGGGCUUGAGUUCGGGAGAGGAGAGUGGAAUUCCCAGUGUAGAGGUGAAAUUCGUAGAUAUUGGGAAGAACACCAGUGGCGAAGGCGGCUUCCUGGCCUGUAACUGACGCUGAGACGCGAAAGCGUGGGGAGCAAACAGGAUUAGAUACCCUGG
rnacentral:rRNA from 1 species